rnacentral:rRNA from 1 species
UAGAGUUUGAUCCUGGCUCAGGAUGAACGCUAGCGGCAGGCCUAAUACAUGCAAGUCGAGGGGCAGUCAAUCUUUCGGGAUUGAGCGACCGGCGCACGGGUGCGUAACGCGUAUGCAACCUACCUUGUACUGGGGGAUAGCCCGUGGAAACAUGGAUUAAUACCCCAUAAUAUUAUUUGAUUGCAUAGUUAAAUGAUUAAAGUUCCGACGGUACAAGAUGGGCAUGCGUAUGAUUAGCUAGAUGGUGAGGUAACGGCUCACCAUGGCGACGAUCAUUAGCGGGUCUGAGAGGAUGAUCCGCCACACUGGUACUGAGAUACGGACCAGACUCCUACGGGAGGCAGCAGUAGGGAAUAUUGGUCAAUGGACGAGAGUCUGAACCAGCCAUGCCGCGUGAAGGAAGACGGCCUUCUGGGUUGUAAACUUCUUUUAUCAACGAACAAAAAGCCCCUGCGGGGGAAAUUGAGUGUAGCUGACGAAUAAGCACCGGCUAACUCCGUGCCAGCAGCCGCGGUAAUACGGAGGGUGCAAGCGUUGUCCGGAUUUAUUGGGUUUAAAGGGUGCGUAGGCGGGAUAUUAAGUCAGUGGUGAAAGCCCACAGCUCAACUGUGGAACUGCCAUUGAUACUGAUAUUCUUGAGUAUAGUUGAGGUAAGCGGAAUUUAUGGUGUAGCGGUGAAAUGCAUAGAUACCAUAAAGAACACCGAUAGCGA